GAAAGUGGCGCACGGGUGCGUAACGCGUAUGCAACCUACCUUUAUCUGGGGGAUAGCCCGGAGAAAUCCGGAUUAAUACCGCAUAAAAUCACAGGAUGGCAUUAUCCAAUGAUCAAACAUUUAUGGGAUGAAGAUGGGCAUGCGUGUCAUUAGCUAGUUGGCGGGGUAACGGCCCACCAAGGCGACGAUGACUAGGGGAUCUGAGAGGAUGGCCCCCCACACUGGUACUGAGACACGGACCAGACUCCUACGGGAGGCAGCAGUAAGGAAUAUUGGUCAAUGGAGGCAACUCUGAACCAGCCAUGCCGCGUGCAGGAAGACUGCCCUAUGGGUUGUAAACUGCUUUUAUCCGGGAAUAAACCUGCUUACGUGUAAGUAGCUGAAUGUACCGGAAGAAUAAGGAUCGGCUAACUCCGUGCCAGCAGCCGCGGUAAUACGGAGGAUCCAAGCGUUAUCCGGAUUUAUUGGGUUUAAAGGGUGCGUAGGCGGCCUGUUAAGUCAGGGGUGAAAGACGGUAGCUCAACUAUCGCAGUGCCCUUGAUACUGAUGGGCUUGAAUGGACUAGAGGUAGGCGGAAUGAGACAAGUAGCGGUGAAAUGCAUAGAUAUGUCUCAGAACACCGAUUGCGAAGGCAGCUUACUAUGGUCUUAUUGACGCUGAGGCACGAAAGCGUGGGGAUCAAACAGGAUUAGAUACCCUGGUAGUCCACGCCCUAAACGAUGAACACUCGCUGUUGGCGAUACACAGUCAGCGGCUAAGCGAAAGCGUUAAGUGU
rnacentral:rRNA from 1 species